UACGUAGGGUGCAAGCGUUGUCCGGAAUUACUGGGCGUAAAGGGCGCGUAGGCGGCUUGGUCAGUCCCGUGUGAAAUCCCUCGGCUCAACUGAGGAACUGCACGGGAAACUGCCUGGCUUGAGUUCGGGAGAGGGAAGCGGAAUUCCGGGUGUAGCGGUGAAAUGCGUAGAUAUCCGGAGGAACACCGGUGGCGAAGGCGGCUUCCUGGACCGACACUGACGCUGAGGCGCGAAAGCUAGGGGAGCAAACGGG
rnacentral:rRNA from 1 species